UCCGAUUGAUCCCGUCGGACCUUACUGCUAUCGAGAUGGGACUAAACCAGGCCAGUCGAACGACCCGGACUAUGGCGGGGAGUGGCAUACUGCUCAGCAACACGUAGCUAACCUAACCUCAAGACGGAAAUAACCCCGGGAAACUGGGGUCAAUGUCCGAUAGAUGUGAAUUCCUGGAAUGGUAUCACAUCCAAAUGUCAGUACACCAUGUUGUACGAACGCUUGAGGAUGGGGCUGCGGCCGAUCAGGCUGUUGGUGGGGUAAUGGCCCACCAAACCUUUGACCGGUAUGGGCCAUGAGAGUGGUAGCCCAGAGAUGGACACUGAGACAAGGGUCCAGGCCCUACGGGGCGCAGCCGGUACGAAACCUCCACAAUGCACGCAAGUGCGAUGGGGUUAUCUCGAGUGCUACCUGAAGAAGGUAGCUUUUCCAUGGCCUAAAUAGCCGUGGGAAUAAGGGGGGGGCAAGACUGGUGUCAGCCGCCGCGGUAACACCAGCCCCCCGAGUGGUAGGGAUGUUUAUUUGGCCUAAAGCGUCCGUAGCCGGCUAGGUAAAUUUCUCGUUAAAUCCAACGUCCUAAGCGUUGGGCCGCGAAAAAGACUGCCAAGCUAGAGGGUGGGAGAGGUCAGCGGUAUUCCUGGGGUAGGGCCGAAAUCCAUUGAACCCAGGAGGACCACCAGUGGCGAAGGCUGCUGACUAGAACACGCCUGACGGUGAGGGACGAAAGCUGGGGUAGCGAAUCGGAUUAGAUACCCGAGUAGUCCCAGCUGUAAACGAUGCAGACUAGGUGUUGGGUUGGCCACGCGCCGACUCAGUGCCACAGGGAAGCCAUUAAGUCUGCCGCCUGGGAAGUACGGCCGCAAGGCUGAAACUUAAAGGAAUUGGCGGGGGAGCACCACCAGGCGUGAAGCCUGCGGUUUAAUUGGAGUCAACGCCGGGAACCUUACCGGGAGCGACAGCAGAGUGAAGGCCAGGCUAAAGGUCUUGCCAGACGAGCUGAGAGGAGGUGCAUGGCCGUCGCCAGUUCGUGCCGUGAGGUGUCCUCUUAAGUGAGGUAACGAACGAGACCCGCGCCGCAUGUUGCUAACAAGUCCUAAAGGGAUGUUGAGCACUCUUGCGGGACCGCAGCCGACAAGGCUGAGGAAGGUGCGGGCAACGGCAGGUCAGUAUGCCCCGAAUCUCCCGGGCCACACGCGGGCUACAAUGGUAGAGACAGAGGGCUGCAACCCCGAAAGGGGAAGCCAAUCCCUAAACUCUACCUCAGUUGGGAUUGAGGGCUGCAACCC
rnacentral:rRNA from 1 species